GGGGACGAACGGACUCGACAGGAAGGAAGGUAGCCGGAUAGCAGGCCGUGGAUGGUUGCUUCCACGUUAAUCCGUGACCAAAAAAUAGCUGGCAACAAACAGCAACUCGCUCUCGCCGCCUAAAGGCUGAGCCGUCCGCUGAGGCCCUCGACCUGGUGGGGCAGCAGACCGGGCGUCACUAAUGCCAGGAUGCCGUGAAAGGACGCCGAUAGCCUUCACGAAAGACCCAUCGGCUGGCCGCAUCGUUUGAGGACCACCAUCGAAUCGUUGCGGUAAGAACCCAAUCGGUGGGAAAGCCUGUAGGAAAAUUCGGAGCUGUACUUCUCUGGACCGGGGGUUCAACUCCCCCGCGUCUCCACCA
rnacentral:tmRNA from 1 species